AACGAACGCUGGCGGCAGGCUUAACACAUGCAAGUCGAACGCACCGCAAGGUGAGUGGCAGACGGGUGAGUAACGCGUGGGAACCUACCCCUUGGUACGGGAUAGCUCCGGGAAACUGGAGAUAAUACCGUAUGUGUCCUGAGGGACAAAGAUUCAUCGCCAAGGGAUGGGCCCGCGUCGGAUUAGCUAGUUGGUGGGGUAACGGCCUACCAAGGCGACGAUCCGUAGCUGGUCUAAGAGGAUGAUCAGCCACACUGGGACUGAGACACGGCCCAGACUCCUACGGGAGGCAGCAGUGGGGAAUAUUGGACAAUGGGCGCAAGCCUGAUCCAGCCAUGCCGCGUGAGUGAUGAAGGCCCUAGGGUUGUAAAGCUCUUUCACCGGGGACGAUAAUGACGGUACCCGGAGAAGAAGCCCCGGCUAACUUCGUGCCAGCAGCCGCAGUAAUAC
rnacentral:rRNA from 1 species